rnacentral:lncRNA from 1 species
UCCUGAGAAGAAUUCACUUUGAACACAUUUCACUCAGACGGAUAGAACAAUCCUUGACAACCUAUGCCAGUAAGGAAAAAUUACUGUAUUGAAAAGACCACUCAUGCUCCUUCCUCUCACAUUAACUUCAGGCCUCUAACAAUCACCGAUCUUUGACUAAUCAUUCUGAAGUAAUACAACUUUAACUUAAAACAUGAAGAGCAAUGGUGUUGUCGCUGCUGAACAUGACAUCUCCCACUGUUUUGUGUUUUUCCAGUCUACUUGUGCCCACUUCUUCCUCUAAAUAGAAAUUUGUCAGUGUGGCUCUCUGUAUGUCUAAUAGAAUGCAGCCAAUAACUACACGUAUCGGUAAUUAAUCAUGAUGUUACCUAAAAAAAGUAGUUAGUCCAUUAAAUCUCCACCGUGUGUGUCAAAUUGCUGAACAUGAAGCCUGUCCAUCUGUACCUACAAAAUAGCUAGAACAUCGGUCAGUGAAAUUUAAGGAAGAUGGUGACGAGCUUCCUAGACUUGAGCUGCUGGGAGAUCCCAUAGCUAGAGCUCAACGACUCCAGCAAGUCACUAUUCCGGAAUGUGAUUGCGUUCGAGCGGACGUACACGUACCUGAAUACUAUCUUUUAUGAUUCUGAAUCUUCACAGGAGAGGAUUAAUGACAUACAAACAAUUUGCCUUAAUUCUUGAAGACAAUGUUAAUCGGAUUCUCAUGUUGAGGAACCAUCUUCAGGUACAUUUUCUUCACAAUCUGCUUGAUACGCCUAUAUUGAUAAAGUGUGACCAUCAGCUACAUUCACCUCAACAUAACUGAGAAGAGAAAUAUUUUUAUGACGGAGAAGAAAAUAAUGAUUGAUAGAAACCUAUCCAACCAUGAAUAGCUCAGAUUAGCUAUUUAUAAUUUAUAUAUACUACAGUCAAAAAUCAUAAUUUGAUCAAAACAUAACUUCAUCCAAGAUUAUGUCGCAAUGGAUUGCUAUAAGUCCACCAACGAAUUUCGGAUUUAGGACCAAACUUUCUGCAAGAAGUCAGCCACAAUACUGUGCACCAAUUUAUGCCAACAAUGUGUGUGUGUGUGUGUAUACAACAUUGAUAGAUUAAUCUUAAGAAAUAAUCUACUGCUAGGUGUAUGUAGUUUAUACCCAGAAAGAUAUGAAACCUACAGGAC